rnacentral:rRNA from 1 species
CCUCCCUUCACAUGUCAGAAAUCCAUUAGAGAUUAUGUCGUCCCUUUAGGAGUGGCCCCAACACAGGUGCUGCAUGGCUGUCGUCAGCUCGUGUCGUGAGAUGUUGGGUUAAGUCCCGCAACGAGCGCACCCCUCGCCGUUAGUCGCCAGCAUUUAGUUGGGCACUUUAAGGGGACUGCCGGUGACAAACCGAAGGAAGGAGGGGAUGACGUCAAGUCAUCAUGGCCCUUAUGGCGGGGGGUACACACCUCCUACAAUGGUGGGGGCAAAGGGGUCGCCAACCCGCGACGGGGAGCUAAUCCCACAAAACCCAUCUCAGUCCGGAUUGCAGUCUGCAACUCGAGUGCAUGAAGUCGGAAUCGCUAGUAAUCGCGGAUCAGCAUGUUGCGGUGAAUACGUUCCCGGGCCUUGUACACACCGCCCGUCACACCAUGGGAG